rnacentral:rRNA from 1 species
UGGGGAAUAUUGGACAAUGGGCGAAAGCCUGAUCCAGCCAUGCCGCGUGUGUGAAGAAGGUCUUCGGAUUGUAAAGCACUUUAAGUUGGGAGGAAGGGUUGUAGAUUAAUACUCUGCAAUUUUGACGUUACCGACAGAAUAAGCACCGGCUAACUCUGUGCUAG